GAUUGUCCAGAUCCCUUGUUUGUGUCCCCUUUGCUGCAAAAUUUCCCCAUUGUUGGGCCCCCAGUGAUGUCAGAGAUCACUCAUACUGGUCAUGCUUUGACCUCUACCCCCUCACUUCGUGUUCUGGAUGUUCUAGUUAAGGACUCUGACUGGCUCUUAUUUCAAUGGGAAUCUAGCCCUGAAUUACAGAGUGUUGGGGCAGAAACUACUCAUUUUCUACCCAGUCUCUCUCUUCCUCACUAAUGAAAACCCAGUGUUGUUGAGAAUGACACUGUGUCUACAUCAAAAAUCAUUAUUUUACGCCAUCCUUAAAUUCAGUAGUUGCAAGCAAGGCCUUUCUGGGGAUUACUGAGAAAGCUUUCCUUUCCUGAUACAGAAAACAUGCCUUCCCGCCGGCCCUUCCCCAUUCUUGGACCUCAGAUGUUAACGGCUGAAGCUGAAGCAUUUUUCAAAUGUGAGAAAAAAAUCCAAGAUAAUUUCAGAGAUCUUGGUGCUGAUAUCAUCGAGCCACCGGACCGCUGCCCGAAGUCACUGUGCUUAAUGUCAUCAAUGUUAAAGGAAGAAAAUAAGCUCCUCUCUUGUGUAGGCUUCUGUUAUAUUCAGUGGAAGAGACCUAGAGCUGGGAGCCGAUGCGGCGCUGCGAACACCGGGGGGCGCCCUUCACGACGGACGCCACAAGCAGUGGGACGCCCCUGAAGGGUUUGGUCAGCCAAGCGGCCUAAUAAAAAUGUUCUUUUAAGAAGACUGGCUGGUGGCCAUGUGAGGACUGUGACCCCAUCGAUUGUAUUUUCUGAAUUGCUCUUGAAUUUGUCGCCUCCUCUCCAGUCCUGUAGAAACUGCCGUCGCUCAGACUCUAGCACCUGUCUCGUGGAGUGAAGAUUGCAGCAACCUCCUAAGUGGUCUUCUUGCCUCUAAGAAGGCAUUUUCCAUUCUGAUUCAUUCUCCAUAUGUACCUAGAGAAUUUUGUCCAAUUACUUCUUGGUUUAUUCAUUUACUCAUUCAGUAUUUAUUGAGUUCUGUCAUACACAAGGCCUUGGGAACAUGGCAGCAAGUUUCCCUGAAGUGUAGGUCUUAGCACAUUGCUUUUCUCUAUCACCAGUACGAUAAAGCCAAACCCCCAGCAUGGCGCACAGCACCGUUCACGCUCUGGUGCCCUCUACCAGCAGUACGGCUUGGCAGUCCUUUCCCCGCCUCACGGUCUCCCUUGUGUUCUGUACAUAACAACUGGCUGUUGGGUGGUGGAAAGGACUCUAGGACUGGGUGUGAAUCCUGGGUGGGGGACUUCAUACUGAGAUGGUCUUGGAUAAACUGCUUAGACUCUCAAUUAACUUAUUUGUCAGUGGGAAAUAGAAAAUAUACCUUAAAACAUCUACUGUAAAAGUCCAAGAUGGGAAAAUAAAUUGACUAGCACAGUG